UAGUGGAUACAAUACGGUAUGUUAAUAUUGAUGCCAUUCAAAAAUAAACUAUGAUCAUAUUAUUUAUGUUUGCUUGAAUCUACAUUAGGUGAUUAUCAUUGUUGCCAUGGUAUGACUUAAAUAUUUAAUAUAUAACAUGGAAUAUAUAACAUGGAAUAAAUAAUAUGGAAUCAUAUGGAUUCUGGCCAGGAUUGGAGGGGAGUAUUUCUUUUUCAUGGACAUUUGUCUCCCCCUGGUGUCCUGAGAGGGCAGGUAGCCUCCACCGUAGUGAGAAGGCAGGUAGCCUCCACUGUAGUGAGAGGGCAGGUAGCCUCCACCGUAGUGAGAAGGCAGGUAGCCUACACUGUAGUGAGAGGGCAGGUAGCCUACACUGUAGUGAGGGCAGGUAGCCUACACUGUAGUGAGGGCAGGUAGCCUACACUGUAGUGAGGGCAGGUAGCCUACACUGUAGUGAGGGCAGGUAGCCUACACUGUAAGUGAGGGCAGGUAGCCUACACUGAGUGAAACUAUGGGGCUUUAACAGUGAUGUAGCCUAUAACACUUUGCUGUAAAUACAUAGGUGUUGUUCUGGCCUGUCAUUGUGAACCAUAGACAAACUGGGUCAACUAUAGUGCAUAGUCCUAAUACAACUAAAGAUGUGAACUAAUUCUACUUUUCAGUCAGUCUAUCUUACGGAUAAUAAUGACAAUAUAUUUACAUGUUCAAGUUCAAGUAAUCGUUUGUGUUGACAUGACACACUUUGAAAAUGACUUGUUGCUUUUUUCCCCGAUACCAAGAGAGUCUCCGCAUGUUGUGUUCGUAGGUAGCAGUUAUACGCUGUAUCAUACAGACAUCAAUUCAUUGAUUUUUAUAUCUGAUGACAAAUAAAACAGAAGCAAACAACUGUGUGGUUUAUUUGUAGGGGGGCUCUAGUUCAUAAUGGACCUUAGAGAGAACACAGUGGUUUAUUUGUAGGGGGGCUCUAGUUCAUAAUGCACCUUAGAGAGAACACUGGUUUAUUUGUAGGGGGGCUCUAGUUCAUAAUGGACCUGAGAGAGAACACUGGUUUAUUUGUAGGGGGGCUCUAGUUCAUAAUGCACCUUAGAGAG
rnacentral:lncRNA from 13 species